rnacentral:tRNA from 1 species
CUUGCCGGUGGCCGGCUGGAACGGCUGGCCGUUUUCGAUCACCACGUAGUCGGUGCCGGCGACCGGUUCCGGGCCGGUCGGGCGCGA